UACGUAGGGGGCAAGCGUUGUCCGGAAUCAUUGGGCGUAAAGCGCGUGUAGGCGGCCAGAUAAGUCCGCUGUGAAAUCUCGAGGCUCAACUUCGAGCUGUCGGUGGAAACUGUCUGGCUAGAGUCCGGAAGAGGAGAAUGGAAUUCCUGGUGUAGCGGUGAAAUGCGCAGAUAUCAGAAGAACACCAGCGGCGAAGGCGGCGCUCUGGGCCGGAACUGACGCUGAGGAGCGAAAGCGUGGGUAGCAAACAGG
rnacentral:rRNA from 1 species